rnacentral:SRP_RNA from 2 species
GCCGGGUGUGGUGGCGGUCACCUGUAGUCCUAGCUACUCGGGAGGCCGAGGCAGAAGAAUCGCUCGAACCCAGGAGGCGGAGGUUGCAGUGAGCCGAGAUUGUGCCACUGCACUCCAGCCUGGGUGGCAGAGCGAGACUCUGUCUCAA